ACUCCUACGGGAGGCAGCAGUGGGGGAUAUUGCGCAAUGGGGGCAACCCUGACGCAGCAACGCCGCGUGAAGGAUGAAGGUUUUCGGAUUGUAAACUUCUUUUAUUAAGGACGAAAAAUGACGGUACU
rnacentral:rRNA from 1 species